rnacentral:lncRNA from 1 species
UUUUUUUUUUUUUAAGAUUUUACUUACUAGAGAGAGUAUGAAUGGUACAGAAAGAGGCAGAGAGAGAAGCAGACUCCCCACUGAGCAAGGAGCCCAACAUGGGGCUCCAUCCCAGGACCCUAACCUAAGAACACAUGACCUGAGCUGAAGGCAGACGCUCAACCGACUGAGCCACCUGGGCACUCCUCCCUUGGUAGUUCUACUUUUCAUGCACUUGGGGUUUUUUUUCAUGAACUAAUUUAAGUAGUGCAUCUUAAAGGUGAAAAGAUCUGUCAAGCAUACCAACAACAGCCUUUCCCAACAGAGCUGUUCCAUAAGAAAUGUCAGUCUUAUCCUAAGUCAUAAUCCACAUGUGAUAGCCAUAAUCAAAGGCAGUUUUGUCUACUUGAUACCUCCAGGUCCUAGGACUCAGCUACACAGGCCAGAUGGUCUGAUUUGAACAUAAUCAAUUUCACUAAGUAACAGAGUAUACCCUUGGCCUUCCCGCUUCCCUCCCGCAGGGCAGAUGUGACCCUGCAAAUCAUCUUUGAAGUUAUUGUGCUACAAGCCAUCUUUCCCCUCUGGUUCUUCUGAUGCUUCAUUUCUGGCUCUCUUUUUCCUUAUCCUAUAUUUGCCAUCAAAAUAUGAUUAGAGAAGCCACUCUGUUCUUCAUUCACUUGAGCAUGCAGGCAGUGUCAGCCAGUAUGUCCAACCUGCUGGACACAAAGGACUCAUUGAUUAUAGCAUAGAGCUUUCUGGUUAUUAUUUCAGCAUAAAAUAUCAUUUAACAUUUGGAUGGAAAACUGUGUGUGCCAUCCCUCUGCCUCUUACAGAUACUUCUCUCAGGAGAAGCUUUGAUUAAGGAAAAACAUCACUGAUCAAACCUGGCCCUGAGGAAUUUAUCAGUGAUCAAUAAAGCUAUCAAGAUCCUAUGUUGAGGAGGGGCUUCCCAUCUAGAACUGGGCAUGCCCUGAGCAGAAGAACAGAUGCUGGUGAGCAUGCCCUGUGCCUCCAUCCCAACAGUUCCCACUCCUCAGAAGUCAUCGGUACAAACUCAUUCUGCACAUUCAACUCUUGUGACAAAUUUUAUAUUGUUGACCUGUGCCUCAUAAUGAAACAAGUGGGGCUACGUGGCUGUAGAAUUAUGAUCUCUGCCGGGGGUUUCCUGCUAAAUCCCAGGCAGGUGGAGGUGUACACACGUCCUUUGUGUCAGCCCACAAGCAACUGAGCUGACCUGGCUUCCAGAUCCCUUUUUGUUAUUGUUUCUUGUGUGUUUUUCUGAACUAUCUUUUGUGAUUAUAAAAGCAGUAUCUUUUCAAUCCUAAAAAAUUUGGUCAUAUGCAAAACAUACAUCUAUGAAAUCAUCACAUUGCACCCCUUAAACUUAUAUGAUGAUGAAUCUCAAUAAAGCUGGGGGGGGGUGUUAGAAAACGUUAAUACAAUAUUUUUUAAAAAGAAAAACUGAAACAUUGUAUUCUUAUUCCCCAAGAUUAUCACAGUUAACACCUGUGUGUAUAUCCUUCCAACUUUCCUCAUGCACAUAAAUAUGCAUCAUAUAUAUAUAUCAUUCGUAUACAUACUGAUACAUAAUCACUCAUUUUUCCAUGUUUAUACAUUCUCUUCUAAUCUAAUACCUUUCAAAUCCCUGCCCCUGCCAUUGUACCCAAAAUAUAUGUUAUUGUUAGUUUAGCUACACCGGCACCCAAUCUAGGACUAUGUGUUAUAUGUGGUGGUUAUGUUCCUUAUAUUCUUUCAAUACAGAACAAUCAUCUCUCACUAUGCAUCACUGAGUUGUUGAAGAGAGCAAGCCAGUUGCCAAGCUAAACUCUCACCCUCUGAAUUCCUCUGGAUUUAUUUGCCUUAUUGCUUCCUUAGGCUAUCUAUCAUUAAUCUUAUCCUCCCACCCCCAUAUUCCUUGUAAACUGGAAAGUAGAUCCAAAGGAUUAGCUUCAAACAUUUCCUGGCUAGAAUCCGUCAGAGGAGAUGUAGUAUACUUCAUAUUGUGCCACAUCAGGAGACACAGACAUAACCCUUAGACAUAACCCACAGACAUAACCCUUAAUUGCCUACUGGAUUAGGGACUUAAUCCAUCCAAUCAGGAAGUGACCUUUGGGGUAUUAUUUUGGCAAAUUAUUUUCCAGACCCUAAACCUUUCUAACCAAUAUCCUGGUUAUGAUAUUGAUCCCAAAACCAUAUCAUAAGUAGAGAAGAACAGAUUGGACUAGUUCAAGAUGUGAGGUAGAGCAGGGAAAAGACAAGACUUGCUGGUGCUCAGAGCUGGCAGGAGGAGUAUUAUGGCAUUUACACUGUUUCCACUGUCCAAAGUACUUGAUAGAUGGUAAUGCAACAUGGCUUAAGCUCACAAGCCCACGGAGGUGGGUGAUACUACACAAGUGGUGAAGUCAACACAGGGUGCUGUGUAAUUUGUUUCCCAAAGAGUUCUUCACAGGAGACCAUCCAGGACUCUGAUUUUUCUUUGAACACAAAGUUAAAAUGCUAGGCUCACAUGUGCAAGUUCUU